AAGGGCAGUGGAGACGGGCAGGCAUCUUGGCCAGAAGCCCUGGUGGCCACAAAGGCAAAUGACACUGGGGCCUUGCUGGCUCUCAGAGCCACAGGACUUGAGCAGCAAAGGGCAGUACCCUUGGAGCAGCCAGCCCCUCCCAGCCCUGCCCCGCCUGGGCGCUCAGAUUUGAGAGCAUGCACAUGCUCGGGCAGCCACGUGUACGGGUCAGGGUCCCAGAACAGACGUGGGCAGGCCCCGUCCUCCCGCUGCAUCCAGGUACUGGGGGGCUGGUGGUCGGGGCUCAGGGUGGGGGCUGAGCUGGACUGACCAGGACAGUGGACCCUAAAUCCUAUUUUAAAUGACAGGCACAGUGUAUUUAUUGACCAAAUGCCUUUUUUAUUGAGCAACUGCUACAUCCAGGCGCUGGGAUUAGAGUUAAGCCCCUGUUCUCAGGAGAGCCGUGCUCUGGGCAGGGUGACCCUGAACAAACAGGAAACGACACACGGUGGCUUCACGGGCUCGUCUCCUCACCUGCUGCCUGACCCGACGGCUGGCCUUCCCUGUGUCCCUGAGUGAGCCGAGCCCGCUCUGACGGGCACCUCUGUCCUGCUCAGUGUGGGGCCCGAAUCACCCACCUGCAGAGCACAUCGCUCCUGUCACGUCCUGUUCUUUUUGGUCACCCUGGCUUGACCAUCAGCCGUCGGCAGCUUCUUUGCUCACAGUAGGGUCCCCAGCCUCGGUCACCGUGAGAGCAGGGGGCACGGACUCCCGUUUGAAGGUCACGGUCUGCCUCGGAGGCAGCUAUGAUGUGUCUGCCGGCGUCAGGAUUUCCAUGAGCUCCCGGAGGAGCAGGGCUUCCGGUGGUUUGGCCCUGGGACCAUGUGACUCUCUGAGAUGAUGCCUGCUUGAAGGGCCCUCCUGGUGGGAUGUGCUGGGCUCUGACCCCAAGUCCCUGCCAGCAGCCACGGCCGGUCCCCACCCUCUCGCUCCCGUGCUUGCGGGGGUCACCUCCCCAUCAAGACGCUCCAUCAACAUUCCGCCCCGUGAACGACGACAGACACAGACACUCACUCACAGACCCGCAAACGCACGUGCAUGCACACUCACAUGUGUGCACACACACAGGGCCCGCCCCACACCCCUCCAAGCUCCAGUCCCAUCUCCGCACUUUUCUUCACAAAUUUCUCCAAACAGAACCCAAUAUCUGCUUGAAUGGGAAAAUGGAGUGAGGAAAAAUAGAAAAUAUCUCAAAAG
ensembl:lncRNA